rnacentral:rRNA from 1 species
UACGGGGGGGGCAAGCGUUGUUCGGAAUUACUGGGCGUAAAGGGCUCGUAGGUUGCCAACUAGGUCAGACGUGAAAUCCCUCGGCUUAACCGGGGAACUGCGUCUGAUACUGGAUGGCUUGAGUUCGGGAGAGGGAUGCGGAAUUCCAGGUGUAGCGGUGAAAUGCGUGGAUAUCUGGAGGAACACCGGUGGCGAAGGCGGCAUCCUGGACCGACACUGACACUGAGGAGCGAAAGCCAGGGGAGCAAACGGG